rnacentral:rRNA from 1 species
AUUGAACGCUGGCGGAAUGCUUUACACAUGCAAGUCGAACGGCAGCACGGACUUCGGUCUGGUGGCGAGUGGCGAACGGGUGAGUAAUAUAUCGGAACGUAUCCAAUAAUGGGGGAUAACUAGUCGAAAGAUUGGCUAAUACCGCAUACGCCCUACGGGGGAAAGCAGGGGAUCUUCGGACCUUGCGUUAAUGGAGCGGCCGAUAUCUGAUUAGCUAGUUGGUGGGGUAAAGGCCCACCAAGGCGACGAUCAGUAGCUGGUCUGAGAGGACGACCAGCCACCCUGGAACUGAGACACGGUCCAGACUCCUACGGGAGGCAGCAGUGGGGAAUUUUGGACAAUGGGCGCAAGCCUGAUCCAGCCAUUCCGCGUGAGUGAAGAAGGCCUUCGGGUUGUAAAGCUCUUUCGCAAGGGAAGAAAACUUAGCCACUAACAUUGGCUGAGGUUGACGGUACCUUGAUAAGAAGCACCGGCUAACUACGUGCCAGCCGCCGCGGUAA